rnacentral:rRNA from 1 species
UACGAAGGGUGCAAACGUUGCUCGGAAUUAUUGGGCGUAAAGCGCACGUAGGCGGCUUUGUAAGUCGGAUGUGAAAUCCCUCGGCUUAACCAAGGAAGUGCAUCCGAAACUACAGAGCUUGAGUACUUAAGAGGAUCGCGGGAAUUCCCGGUGUAGAGGUGAAAUUCGAUAGAUAUCGGGAGGAACACCGUGUGGCGAAAGCGGCUCACGUGGACCACAACUGACGCUGAGGCGCGAAAGCUAGGGGAGCAAACAGGG